AACAGCCUUGUUCAGUUACCAAAAAAAUCUAUGUUCUUGGUGGGUGAAACUUCCCAAGCCUACUUGCCAAAGAAACCCCCUACCACUACUUGUAGCCCAUACUUUAUUUAACCAGGAGUUGGAUUUCCUUGUUCCAAUCUUUGUCUUGUCUUCUCUUCUUUCAACCACUUGGCCUGCCUUCUCCACUUCUCCUCUCCAAUCUCCUUGUAGGUGGCAGACCCCAAAUUGCUGCCAUCUGUGUCUGGCCACACUUCUUUCUUACAUUCAAAGUCCUUCUGCAGGAGGGCAAACAGAAUGAUGGGUGUUCAAGUCCAAGACCCAGAUUACUCAGAAUUUGUGGAGGUUGAUCCUACAGGGAGAUAUGGCAGGUUCAAUGAUAUCCUUGGCAAGGGUGCUUCAAAGACUGUGUAUGUUCACUCUCACCUGUUGCACCACCCAAGCUCUGAUUCCUUCUGAUCCAUGGAGUUCUGCUCAUCUUGGGUGAAGCUCCAUGAUUUCCUGCAGAGCCCUGAGAACCUGGACAGGCUUUAUUGUGAAAUCCAUCUUCUCAAGACUUUGAAGCACAAGAACAUUAUGAAGUUUUAUACCUAUUGGGUUGACACCUCUGAGAGGAACAUCAAUUUUGUCACUGAGCUGUUCACCUCUGGCACUCUUAGGCAGUAUAGGCAACAGCAUAGAAGGGUCAAUAUUAGGGCAGUGAAGCAUUGGUGUAGGCAGGUUCUUAAUGGCCUUCUCUACCUCCACAGUCAUGAACCCCCUAUCAUCCACAGGGACCUCAAGUGUGACAACAUCUUCAUUAAUGGGAACCAAGGCGAGGUCAAGAUCGGUGACCUUGGCCAUGCUGCCAUGCUCUGGAAAUCACAUGCUGUCCAUUGUGUUGGCACACCAGAAUUCAUGGCUCCAGAGGUGUAUGAGGAGGAAUACAAUGAAUUAGUGGACAUCUACUCAUUUGGGAUGUGUGUCUUGGAAAUGGUCACCUUUGAAUACCCAUACAAUGAAUGCACCCACCCGGUGCAGAUAUACAAGAAAGUUAUCUCUGGGAUCAAACCCAAAGCUUUGUACAGAGUUAAGGAUCCUGAGGUCAGGCAAUUUGUUGAAAAAUGCCUUGCCACAGCAUCUGAAAGGCUUUCCGCUAGGGAGCUGCUUAAGGAUCCUUUUCUACAAGUUGAUGAUCUUGGUUCGAGCUAUGACGAAGGAAACAUCAGCAGUAUCGACUGUAUUUUGGGGCAACCCUCCCUUGGUCUCAUCCAAAGUAAUGUUUCCUUUAUCACCAAUGAGUUUUCAAAGAUUUUGCACCCUGAAACAGAGUUGCAGAAUGGCUGGGACUACGAUGUGACAAAAAUGGAAGCGCUUGGAAUGGACCUACUCAAUAGUCACGAAGAUGAGCAUCCUGCUAUUAUGGACAUUACUAUCCAGGGAAGCAGAAGGGAAGAUGGGAACAUCUUCCUGAGGCUAAGGAUUUCAGACAAAGAUGGCCAUGUACGAAACAUAUAUUUCCUCUUUGACAUUGAUGCUGAUACUUCAUUGAGCGUUGCCAUGGAGAUGGUAGCAGAGUUGGCUAUCCUGGAUUAUGAUGUGACUAGAAUAGCAGAUAUGAUUGAUAGAGAGGUAGCUUCACUGGUACUGGAGAGGAAGCCAGGUCCAAGAUUAGAAGGAACUCCAGGGGUUCCUGCAGCUACUUUCUGCCAGAAUUGUCCCUCCAAUGUUUUAUCAUGUGGUUCACUUCUAGACUCUCUCUCACUGAGAAAUCCAUGCUGCAGUAACAUGAAAUCAGUUCACUGUUGCCAACUUGAGGGUGCUGAAAUGCCUGGUCAAUGUGAAGAGUUAAUGUACCCGGUUGAGGGAUCCGAGCUUCGUAUGACUGGGAGACCACCUAUGCUAUCAACAGGCCAAGGCUUAAUCACUCAAACAAUGAAUGUAAAUGAUUAGAACCUAUUGUAGGGGGAUGAAGAGGUUCUACAAUUUGAUGACUGCAAAAGAAGUGUGUGAGAAAUCUCUAGGCAAGUCAAUCUCGGAAUCUCACCAGUAACAGUCUCUUGAUUUACCAGAGGGGAGUUACCAGUUCACUACACCCAAAAAAUUAAUCAAUGGCUAUUAAAAUGAGAUCAGUCAUGACAAGGCAAGGUGCCAGAUUGAGCUACAAGAACAGAUCAACCAACAGAUGACAGUAUCCAAAAGAAUGCUGUAUCCAACCCCAGACUCUACCAAUAUAGAAAGAAUAGUGGAGUCCUCCCUUUCAGACAAUCAUAACUUCUUCCAUAUACCUCAAAGUGAUACAAACUGUGCCUCUAUGCUUAAGAUGGCUCCUGCUGAUGUAAAUUCUGGGUAGCUGCGGAGAAACUGAACACUGCAGGUGGCCCCUGAGAUAAUGUUCACAAGAAGGAACUUCUAUGCUGGAUCCAUUGCGCCACAUGCUCUUACUAGAACCAAGUCCUUCCUGUUGAUAAUUAACAUCUGAGAAGCCUUUUUACAAAUACACUGGCAGUCUGAAUAUCAUCUCUCCACCUGCUUUCUUGUACAGCAAUAGUGAGAUGCACUGAAAUGUAUUGUUGUUCGCAUAUUCUUUCGCAGUUUCAUGCAGAGAUGAUUAGAUCAUGAGUUGGAGUGAAGAUUUCAGGAAGGAAAAAUCUAUUGGGUUGAAGUUUUGAGUUGCCUGAAUGGCUUACUUGCACUUUUCCUCCUUCCAAUUUAUGACUUGGUCAGGUAUCAGUUAAUGUAGAAGAAGAUUGUUUUUCUUUCUAGCAGUAUUCUCUUUUCUAAUAACAUCAAUCCUACCAGCUUUCCCCACAAGUCUAAUUCUUUCAAAAGAUUUGAUUGCAGGCUAUCUUUUUAUUCAUGAGGUACCUCACAUAAAAGUCUGUGAGAUCAGAUGAGCAAAAGCAACAUGAAUGAAAUGAUAUAAUAUAUGAGCUGCCAGAUUUCAUGGGACAAAAAAGAUUUAUAUGCUGAAGAUCCAAAACAAAAGCUUCUUACAGCAAAAAAUGCAGUCUAUGAAACUGAGUAAAACAUACACCUAACUAUUACUGGCUUUAGCAAGAAAUUAUCAAACUGUCUGCAUAUGGUAUAGAAACCAAGAAUCGAAUGUCAGUAUAUAGCAAGUCCUCAACAUCAUGGCAGCUCAGAAACCAGAUCAAAUCUUUUCCAGAAUGGCUGGUAAACAGCAUACUGGAGUCAGACAGACAGACAUAUAUAUGUAUAUAGUCAGAUCUUUGGUCCAAGACAUAUUUUGGAUACCUAGACUUGUCUUCGUUGAUCAAUGAGGAUCAUGACAACCCUUAAUUGAGUAGAAUUCUUGGUUUGAAAUAAAUUAAGGAGUUCUAAAAUCUGUUGAUCUGAGAGGCAUUAUAGGGCUAAUAAGGACUUGAUAAAUAUACUAGUAAUAAGGUGAGCUUAAACAUUUUGAAUUAGUGUAUAAUUUCAACAAAAUUAAUGUCAGUUAUUUCAUUGGAUCAUUCUCUAAUAAGAAAGGACAAUUAGACAUGACAUCACAAAGGAGGAUGGUUCAAACUAGUAUGCACAGGAUUGUCUAAGGUGUCUUUAAGAUAGAAACUUUAAGCUUUCAAGGUACUUCCGGGAUGAAAACUGAGUUUAUGAGAGAUUUUCCGACUCGGUCUCUGUAUUACCCAAGUUAAUAACCUGAAAUAUAUGAGUCGUACAUGAGUAGUCAAAAGAAGUAAGCCCUGCUCAUCACGUUGAAGACAAGUUUUUAUACCUAAUCACUUUAUAGAAUAUUCUAUGGGGAGACAACUUCUAAUCACCUCCCCUUUUGGCCUCUUGUCCAUGUGGGUAACAAGAGAGGGGACAUGAACUAUUUGCCUUGGACUUGUUUUGAAAUCUUAUCCACAUGAGCAAAUGGGUGAAAGGUGAUUUGAAACUUUUCUCUCUACGGAGGACACACAUUGGUUAGGCUAGAAGUUUUAUGACCUCCCCAUCUCUUCGGGACCUCUACGUCUCAAACGAAGGUAAGGGUUGGCCUUCUCAACCUAUACACCUUAGAUAGAGGCAAGGAUUAGCCCUCUUAACCUCCACAUAUCUUGAAAGUACCUUAGAUAAGUUUAUAUAUAUAGAUUCGGAUCAUGUUGGAUUGGUAAAUACGAUCAACCAUAUAUUUUUUUUCCUAGUAGCGGUAUUCUAAAGACCAGCAUUCCCAUGACAGGACAAAGAGGGAUGAUGUGCAGAGAACCAGCUCCGUCAAAAGGUAUCUCAUGUGCUCUGUUCUUGGGUCUUUUCUAAUAGCUAAGGAUUCAGCAGAAUAUUACAGUCAGUCUGUCAAAUCUCUGGAUUCUUGAGGAGUUCCUGCAGGGAGGACCUCAAUGGGAUUGCCGCUAGUUUGGCAGUUAUGCUUCUACGGUACUUUAAAGAACAUGUAGAAGCUGCAAACAAGAAAGAAAUCAAUCAAUCAAUCAAUCUAACAAUGGUGGUUGCUCCAUACAGAUGAGAGACAGCUCAAAAUAUGGGUCAUGCAACUGUCAUGCCAGCUAAAAGUAUUGCACCAACUUGUGGACAGCCCCUUCUCCUCAAGCAAAGAAAAGAAAACCCUACAGCUUGUGAAUCCAUGGUAGAAGAAGGAAGCCAGCCUGUGCAGUCCAAAACUAUACACAGCCUUCCCUUAUAAAAAGCUCGCCUUCUUCCACAACCAUAACUGCAUUCCCUUAUAAAAAGCUCUACUUUUCCCUCCUUCCGUUAGUAGCAGCAAUGGAGGCAGCUCUCAAGCUCAGGCUCUUUGCCGUCGCCAUGAUCGCAGUCGUGAUGGCCUCUUCCUUAGUGGAGAAGGCCGCCGCGGCCGAGGCUCCCGCCCCCAGCCCCACCUCCGGCACAGCAACCUCGUCGUUCUCGGCCACUGCUGCUGCUGCUGCUGCUUUGUUCACCCUCACCUUCGGCUAUCUUUUCUGCUGAGCGACAUGUUCUUCGAAUCCUCUCUAUUGUAGCUUCAUUCUUCAUUCCUCUGUUGCCAUGGGUGGAUCUCACUGUUGUGUGUGUAAUGGAUGGAGGGGAAGAGUACAAUGCAUGUAUGACGAUAGUAAAUGGUGGGUUUGUAUCAUUUCCAUGGUGUUUAUAAUGAUAUGAUUUGUUUUUUUUAGCAAAUUUCCCAAAAUAAUCAAGUUUUUAUUUUGUUUUUCACAUAGCACCCGUGCUUUAUUUUGACAAAGUAUUUUUUUAAUUUUUUAAAAAAUAAGAUUACCGAAAUAUUUUUAAUUAAAUAAGUAUUCUUAUUUAUAAAUAGAAGCUCUGAAGUAUGAAUUCGAAAAAAAAUAUAUAUUUCAAAUUGAGACCUCGAACAAAUCAUGAAUUAUGAAAUCAUGAACAUCCACCUUUUCCAAGUUGUUGAAAAUGAAUUAUGAAUUAUUCCCUAUAUUUAAGAAUUGGUGGGAUAAGAGACCAGGAGCGGAUCGGAUCCAAUCGGAUCUGGGAUGUGGAUCCGAGUCAAUAACGCCAACCCGCAGGGGAGUGACAAUGGUAUUACCGUAAAUUUUGUGAAUCCAAGGAUGCUAAUGUGUCGUAUCACCGUAUGUAAGGAGAGCCGGGAAUUAGGGUUCUGCCAACGCUGCAUCCGAGUUCGCGCUCUCAGCUGACGGUUUAGGCUUCUUCCGGAGGCGGUCCUUGAGAGCAUGGAUACUCAAGCUAAGCUUGCAGUCGUCGUCAAGGUGAUGGGUCGUACCGGAUCCAGAGGUCAAGUGACUCAGGUCAGGGUCAAGUUCUUGGAUGAUCAAAAUCGUCUCAUCAUGAGGAACGUGAAAGGUCCAGUAAGGGAAGGUGACAUCCUCACUCUCCUCGAGUCCGAAAGGGAAGCGAGGAGAUUGCGCUGAUCGUAUUCCCUCGGUGAAUCCUGCAUGGAUGUGCACAUGAACAUGAUGCAGUUUUGUGGUAGAUUAGUUAUUUGCCCUAUUAUGGCACUUUGGUGUGGUGUGCGAUACCAUUGCUAGCUUGACCAAAUGCCACAACUAUCACUUUUAUUGAACUCUUGGAAUCAUUUUGUUUGGUGCUUAUUAAGUUGAAAAUGUGGUACUUGUGUCUGA